rnacentral:lncRNA from 1 species
AUAAUCAGGUUUUAUUGACCUAAGUCUUGAAAUUUCUCUUUCUUCUUCUCUCUAACAUAUAUGAGGAAAAAGUUCUCCAAAAAGGUAGUCAUAAAAUGGGUCCAAGUAAUAGGGGUGGGGAAGACAUCCUUCUUCAGUCGCCACCAAUGCUUGGUUUUACCUGUGAACAUAAAGGCAACGAGAGGAACUUUCUGUUCCUCAGAGAGGUCUAAGAUAGAUAAGAGUUUCUCAAUCUGUAGAUCCAAGUUUCUGCAACCAAAAGAUCGGGUCCACUGUCAAAAAGUGGAGGGUUUAGCCUCU